AGCAAGCCCUGUGGAUCUUGUCUUGCUCUCAGUUGCACGUCAUCUCAAGGAUUAGCUGAACGAUUGGUUCCCUUAAAUCAGAAUCAAUCUGGGAACUCCAACUAGUGCGCUCUUCGAGCUGAAGUUGUGCUCUUCAGCUGAGGAGGUAAGGAAGCCUUCACUGGGGCUUCAAGGUGUAAAGAGGAUGUUUUAAAGUGUUCCAUGGUACUCUGAAGACCGUUGUUGUGUUCAACUGGCUGAGAGGAAGAACCCUCACAUCUUCCUCUUGGCCUUUCUCCUCUGAGAAUCCUGGCGCCAUCUAGAAGGAUAUUCCAGCUCAUGUAACUGAUGUCACGACAGAUUCUCAAACACUUGGUUUCUCCUGAGGGGCGUGUCUAUAGAACUGAAGACUUCAGACCGCACUGUAUCCCAGCAUGCAUCUCUGCUCACCCAGACCACACCCCCAUGAGUAGGAUGCAACACUCUAGUGAUGGAGAUGUAGAGUUUUAUAAGUAACGAGGGAGCAGACAAAGGUGAUUAGGACACAAUGGCAUAUCAAGUCUGUAAAUCUUUAAACCAUGAAGAUGGUUGGAUAGUUCAGGAAUUGGGCUUCUUUUUAUUAUGGGCAGUCCUUUCACUCAGAUGCCCACAUAUCACUGGACCUGUACAUGUGUUGGCUGGUUGGCAUGAGUUGCUGUUGGUGAUGAGGCGGUCAGGGUGACGUUGCAGGGCUAUGGUCGAGCUCAACGUUUAGAUUUGCUCUGCAUGGUUUGUACCCUGAAUAAUCUAGAUAAUUGUAAAAUGUACAGGGUUUUGUAUUGAAUGAUUUUAGGUUUAAAGUCGUUGUGGGUCGUACAUGGUAGUUUGGUUCUUCGUACGGUUUUGAGUGAUAUAACUUGUACACACUGGGUGCAUAAUAAUGUAAAGGUACACUGAAUAUUAAUGACCAACAGCAACAAACAGAUCACAUCAAGGUAAGUCUGUUGGCUGUGUUUUAAUGAAGACCAUCGCUGGACUUCAGGAUCUUCCUCCGUUCAGCUCAAGGUGAGGCGCUGGUUCUGUUUUUCUUUGGUUGGUUCCGGCCGGAAUGUUCGUAUUCCAGUCGGACAGUUUGUGCUUCCCGCCGUGGAAGGUUCUGAGUGCGGUCACUUAUUUAGUCCCAAUGGUUAGCAUUGAACGUUGUAGCCUUGACAACCAUAAGUAACCACCUGGCAGUUAGUUGGACGGGAGUCCCCUGAGGGAAUCUGGCGGAACGUUCUGGAUUGUAUUUGCAUGACCUCGAGCCGUUGCCAACGGAAACUAUUUUUCAGUCGUUUCCAUUGGGAAUUGUUGUCCCUUAUCUUAAACUUAAAUUUGAUAUUAAAUACAUACUGACACGUACGUCGUACAAUAUGUUUAAUUUCCGAUGGUUGCGCCGUACUUUUAACCACGUUGACGUGAUGGGACUCUCUCUGCGUACAAACAGCGUUGUACUUGCGGGCCCAUUUUGGUGAAGGCUGAAAAUCAUUUCAAGGUGGAAGACAAUUUGACAUUUCUUCAACGGUACCCAGCACCUGAAUAUGGCUGAGUUGAGUAUAUUUGAUUUAACAUCGAUACGGUUUAGUGUUCUUUGUUCAGCUUUUGUACGUUCUAAAUAUCUGCUGUCAUUAAUUGCCACAGAAGUUAAACCCUACCCAAUGGAAUGACGUUAAACAACGACUUUGGUGUAGAGUUACCAACUGGAUAAUAUCAAAGCUAAAAUAAUGGCCAUCCUUCCCACAUGUUACAGUAGAAGAUACUCUAGAACUGUACAAGGUUAAAAAGGUAACAUGUCGUUUGUCCCAAGGUGUCUGCCUCCUCACCGAGAGCCAGACCGCCACCUCCUGUCAGAAGUCCUCCAGAACAGGUCAGUGCUCUGGUGUGAGUAGUCUUCUCAGGUCAGUUUCGAUGCAUGGCCUGAACCACUUCUCUCUUUUUAUUUUCUUUCAAGUCUUUUCUAGCCUUGAGUUAUAAAAUAAUUUAAUUGUGUAACUCGGUUUUGGAUGAGUCAAUUAAGUUUAUUGUUGGGCAAAUGCUGAUAUAAUCCUGCUGCUGUAGCUGAAAGGCGAGGCUGGGUACCGGAGGCUUGUGGUGCCAGGAUGGACCGGAGACUGAGGCUGGAGACCAGGGGCCUGCAGCGGCGGGCCAGAGGGUAACCAUCACCAAGCUCAUGAAGCACUAAAAUCCACGGUAGUUUACGUCUGUUUUUGAUCAUCUUAUGACUUUAAAUCUGUGCCUAGCUGUGAUUUGAGUUAAUUCAUACGGGGGUUAAGUAAGAGUUAUAUGAGCCAAUUUUUGUUACUAGUGCUGCUACGACCGUAGUGGAUGAAUUGCUGAACGUGACAAUCUGCAGACGUUGUCUAAUUUAAGUGUUUAAAUAUGUUAAAAUUUGUCUUCCAUUUUACAAGUGAACCUCAGAUGCAGGGGGUGGGGUGUGUUGCGUCCCCAGGUGAUUUACUGCUGAGACCAACUGUUUUUGUAACCAGACAGGAAUCCAUGGCUGAAGGAGCUGAUGGAGGAGCCGUGCUGAAGGCCCUGCCUGGUUGAGGAGCUGGUGGAGGCCCUGCCUGGUGAAGGACGUCUGUCGUGGGGUAGUUGGCGCUUGACUCUGAAGUGAUCAUCACACUCACUGCCACUUCACGUAGAAUACUGCUACCACAAACUACCAGCGUUUGUACCAUAUAUACCAGACGACUACAUCUGUUUUACCACAUGUUGAAGCAAGACUUCCGCUGUUUGUUCCAGACCAGGACUCUGGCUGAGGAGAGCUGAUGGAGGAGCUGAGACGCUGGAGGACGACUAGGAAUCGACCAACAAGGAUUCCUCAACGUGUUUCUGGAGCGGAGGCGAGCUGGUAGGGGAGCCGUGAAUCUGGAGGAUGACCAUCACUCUACCAACAAGGAUUGUAAAUUUGUAUUAACCAAACAACAAAGUGGAAAUAAAGGGCUUAAAAAUAAGACAAACUACAUGUUUGUUACCAGACGUUACUACAGCUGCUACUUUGUUGCGCGCCAUAAGAGCCCAACUACUCCUGUGUUUGUGACCUUACAUUAGAGCCCAACUACUACUGUGUGUGUGUUACCUGAUAUUGGAGGCAAACUACUUCUGUGUUUGUGACCUUACAUUAGAGCCCAACUACUGUGUUUGUUUCCUGAUAUUAGAGACGAACUACUACUGUGUUUGUUACCUUACAUUAGAGACAAAUUACGUUUGUAACCAGACCAGGAAUCUGGAGGACUGAUGGAGAAGCCGUACAUCUGGAAGGCAAAUCCUGAGGACAACCAGGACUCUACCAUCAAGGAUUCCUCACACACCUGAGCUGAACCCGCCCUGAUCCUGACAUCCUGCUACUCCCGUCUCCUCAGUUCAUCUGCGCCUCGUCCUCCAGAAGACCUGCUGAGCUCAGCGGUCUGAGGCUGAUGGAUCAAUGACCUCCAGUGGGAGUGAUCUUCUUGACCCUACAUGUAACCGUGUGCUUCCACACGCCUUUCUCUCACGUCUGUCACUAACCUCACUACUCUCUACUGCUUGCCUCUUCUUCUUCCUUUUCUGUGGUUCGAACCUUUACACUGAAGGCGCGUCUUCCUGCCCUCAGAGGGUUCAGCGUUAGGGUUGAGAGUCAGGGUUUAGAGUCAGGGACAGAGCUGGUCAGGGAGGACUGCUUUUACACAAACCUCUUCACUUGCUUUCGGAAUGGUGGUGACAUUUUGAAAAGAUUCAUUUGGGAAAAUGUUUUCCUCUGCUUUCCUUUACAAAAUUGUAUUAAACUUCUGUCAAGUGUUUGUUUAUAUAUUAAAAUCCCACAUUGACUUAUACAUGUUUGGUGCGGUUCAUUUAAUUGUCCUUUAACUUGGUUAAUGUCAAGCUAAACUCAUGCAAUUCAUAUAAUAUACAUUAUUGUUAUUCAGCAAUGUUCACAUAAUCCAUUUUGUAAAAAUAUGAAAACCUCCAUUACUACUAAAUUCAAGCCUAUUCAUGUAUUUAACAAUGUACAUACAGGCCAUUCUCUGCUACUACAACAUGUUCAAUCCACCAACCCGUCUCACAUCAAUGUACUAUAGCUACAUUGGUUCAAACGGAAAAUGUAGUUUGGUGUGAGACUGUUGUCCAGCAGAAGGAGCUGUCAUACACCUUAAUUAUACAGGAAUGUCUGUGUUUGUCUGAAGCGUGAGAACAACACAAUAUUCAGUUAGGCAUUUGUGUUUCUAUGUCUCAUACAUUCCUGGGCUCCAUAUAUGGCCUCCAAAUACGGAGGCCAUAUUUGUUCCACAUCCCUCCCCAUCCCAAAUAACUGACAUCAGUCAAAUAUUUUGAUAUUAACAACCCAUAAUCCUACUUUAUUUAAUUUAGUUUAUCAAUGGUAUUGGUGAUACUUGUAGCAGCGCUGGUUUGACUUCGUACCAAUCCAUGUUUCUUCUUUGACGUUUGUUUCCUUUUAACGUAGACUAGACGCAUGCUGUGGCGAUGAAAGAGCACGACUAUGAAGGCUCAGUGGACAGUCACUACAGGAUGGAGAAAGACGAGCAGCAGAAGCAACCAAUAGCAGCAGAGAGGGUAAAGGUGGAACCGUUGGAUGAGGAAAAAUGAUGAGAGGUACCUCCCACGAGGGAUCAGCGAUAAAGGACGGUGCAAACCUACCAUUACGCACCUCAAAGGACCCCAUAGACCUCCUUUCAAGACUGGGUAUGAUUCGUAUUAAUUUCAGGAAGAAGCACUGGGCCUUAUUUAACCUGCCCCGAUACCUGUUUUCUUGAAUGUUGCAUUAAACUUUUUUUUUUGGACAGAGAUGUGG
ensembl:lncRNA